GCGAAGCAGCCAAUAGCAGUCUGUUCUCGCCUAUCGAUAGAUAGCAGGUUGUUUCCAAGCUCAAACCAUUUGAAACUGAAUUGCUACUUUUUUCUUGUUAUUGAUAGAGUGGUAUUCUCCGCCCCUGUCAAAUAAAGUAGAGGGAGAGAACUGGAAGAGAGAAGGAAAAAGAGCAAAGGAUUGACAAGUCUAAUGGGAGAAGAAUGGCUGAGACCUUGACUGCCUUCGAGACAAAGAUAACCCAAGCGGUCUAACCCCCGGGGCGGACCCCAACCGAAAGGCGCUAGACGGACUAACGGCAAGCGAGAUAAAGAAAGCAGCUGGCCCUAUGUGUAAAACCUUGCCGCGAGAGAGUCUUUCUCCAAUGAGAAUAAAGAGAGUUUUUGGGCAAGACAAGAAAGGAACUCGCCCUUUGAUACCAAGGGAUAAGAGCUGAUUGCUGGCGAUGACUUGGUGAAGGGAAUCUAUGAGAAAAGGUUCUCGAACCGGGUUCCGACCGACGCGGAGCCAACGAGUUCAGUCGAACAGCGUAACGAGUCUAAGGGCGGGAUCAAGCUUCAAAGGAAUGGACGGGCGUAGGCUUAAUAGUGAACGCAGACCCCCCUGCUACUAGCUUAUAGAUAGUUGAUCAAUGACUUAAAAGACAGAUGCCGAGAGAAACAGUUAGACUUCUUUAUUGCGUUGCGAAGAGAGAUCGAAGACGAAGAUUUUCAACUUUUUAUUUUGACGCGCAAGCCUAAACUAUACAGGCCGAAAACAGAUGGAUCACAAAGAAGCAGUCAGCACAAUAUUUACGAUGUCGAGCAGGAGGGGAAAAGACUCUGGCAAAGUUCUAGAGCAAUUUCAGUUUGGACAAAUCUUGGAGAGACCAAGAAUGCUUGGACAAAAUGCAGUGCAGCCUGCCAUUGAUCACCUUGGAGUUUUCUCACC